CUGAAAUGGUUUGGUGGGGAUGAUCGCACCCGA
rnacentral:sRNA from 1 species